ACAUGCAAGUCGAACGCACUCUCGUUUAGAUUGAAGGAGCUUGCUCCUGAUUGAUAAACAUUUGAGUGAGUGGCGGACGGGUGAGUAACACGUGGGUAACCUGCCCUAAAGUGGGGGAUAACAUUUGGAAACAGAUGCUAAUACCGCAUAAAACCUAACACCGCAUGGUGUAGGGUUGAAAGAUGGUUUCGGCUAUCACUUUAGGAUGGACCCGCGGUGCAUUAGUUAGUUGGUGAGGUAAAGGCUCACCAAGACCGUGAUGCAUAGCCGACCUGAGAGGGUAAUCGGCCACACUGGGACUGAGACACGGCCCAGACUCCUACGGGAGGCAGCAGUAGGGAAUCUUCCACAAUGGACGAAAGUCUGAUGGAGCAACGCCGCGUGAGUGAAGAAGGUUUUCGGAUCGUAAAACUCUGUUGUUGGAGAAGAAUGUAUCUGAUAGUAACUGAUCAGGUAGUGACGGUAUCCAACCAGAAAGCCACGGCUAACUACGUGCCAGCAGCCGCGGUAAUACGUAGGUGGCAAGCGUUGUCCGGAUUUAUUGGGCGUAAAGCGAGCGCAGGCGGUUUCUUAAGUCUGAUGUGAAAGCCUUCGGCUCAACCGAAGAAGUG
rnacentral:rRNA from 2 species